GCUUGAAUAGCUCAGCGGUAGAGCAAUCGGCUGUUAACCGAUCGGUCGGGGGUUCAAAUCCCUCUUCAAGCGCCA
rnacentral:tRNA from 10 species